GCCGCUGAACGGCGAGCGUGCCGGCUGGCGCGCCGCUGGCAACACUUAACCGCCGUCGAAAAAGUUCCUGAGAUCCUUAAAAA